rnacentral:rRNA from 1 species
CUACGGUGAAUACGUUCCCGGGCCUUGCACACACCGCCCGUCAAGCCAUGGAAGCCGGGUGUACCUAAAGUCGGUAACCGUAAGGAGCCGCCUAGGGUAAAACUGGUGACUGGGGCU